rnacentral:rRNA from 1 species
GACGAACGCUGCCUGUGUGCUUAACACAUGCAAGUCGAACGGUAAGGCUCCAGCUUGCUGGGGUACACGAGUGGCGAGCGGGUGAGUAACACGUGGGUGACCUGCCCUGCACUUCGGGAUAAGCCUGGGAAACUGGGUCUAAUACCGGAUAGGACCGCACCGUGAGGGUGUGGUGGAAAGUUUUUUCGGUGUGGGAUGGGCCCGCGGCCUAUCAGCUUGUUGGUGGGGUAAUGGCCUACCAAGGCGGCGACGGGUAGCCGGCCUGAGAGGGUGGACGGCCACAUUGGGACUGAGACACGGCCCAGACUCCUACGGGAGGCAGCAGUGGGGAAUAUUGCACAAUGGGCGGAAGCCUGAUGCAGCGACGCCGCGUGGGGGAUGACGGCCUUCGGGUUGUAAACUCCUUUCACCAUCGACGAAGGGUUUCUGACGGUAGAUGGAGAAGAAGCACCGGCUAACUACGUGCCAGCAGCCGCGGUAAUACGUAGGGUGCGAGCGUUGUCCGGAAUUACUGGGCGUAAAGAGCUCGUAGGUGGUUUGUCGCGUCGUCUGUGAAAUUCCGGGGCUUAACUCCGGGCGUGCAGGCGAUACGGGCAUAACUUGAGUACUGUAGGGGAGACUGGAAUUCCUGGUGUAGCGGUGAAAUGCGCAGAUAUCAGGAGGAACACCGGUGGCGAAGGCGGGUCUCCGGGCAGUAACUGACGCUGAGGAGCGAAAGCAUGGGGAGCGAACAGGAUUAGAUACCCUGGUAGUCCAUGCCGUAAACGGUGGGCGCUAGGUGUGGGUUUCCUUCCACGGGAUCCGUGCCGUAGCUAACGCAUUAAGCGCCCCGCCUGGGGAGUACGGCCGCAAGGCUAAAACUCAAAGGAAUUGACGGGGGCCCGCACAAGCGGCGGAGCAUGUGGAUUAAUUCGAUGCAACGCGAAGAACCUUACCUGGGCUUGACAUAUACAGGAUCGCGCCAGAGAUGGUGUUUCCCUUGUGGCUUGUAUACAGGUGGUGCAUGGUUGUCGUCAGCUCGUGUCGUGAGAUGUUGGGUUAAGUCCCGCAACGAGCGCAACCCUUGUCUUAUGUUGCCAGCACGUUGUGGUGGGGACUCGUAAGAAACUGCCGGGGUUAACUCGGAGGAAGGUGGGGAUGACGUCAAAUCAUCAUGCCCCUUAUGUCCAGGGCUUCACACAUGCUACAAUGGUCGGUACAGUGGGUUGCCAGUCCGUGAGGGCGAGCUAAUCCCGCAAAGCCGGUCUCAGUUCGGAUCGGGGUCUGCAACUCGACCCCGUGAAGUCGGAGUCGCUAGUAAUCGCAGAUCAGCAACGCUGCGGUGAAUNCGUUCCCGGCCCU